CCUUGUAGUACGAAAUGAAUUAGGAAAAUGAUGACUUUAUUCUUCUGUUUUAACCUAGGUCUAUUUUCACUCCACCCUGGAUACGCUGAGAAAGUACGUACGAGAAACAUACCAUACAGAGGAAGGGCACUGGCAAGAGAGGGGGAAUUCUUCCUGGAACCUGUCUCCUGCAGCACCAGCUCGCAAUACCCUCCUCUGCUGGAAGAUCCAGGUGAAAAACUUGCUGAAUGGAAAACAGUCACAAACCUUAUUAUGUUUAAGAGGGAUGGAGCUUCUUAAAAAAUAAAAAACACACUUCCAUUAAUGGGAGCUAUGUCAGACUGUGGAAACCUAGGAGAGCUGCUGAGUACCUGGUUUUGUCUGCGGGCUCAGACUGCCUCCUGCCUCUACCUGAGAACAAGACCCAGCUAUGCACUUCUACUGCUCUAUCCUAGUUUCCAUGGGAAGAAGGUGCACAGGGUAGAUGAGACCUGCAGUAUGCUCCAAAAGGUACUGAUCUAAACACCUGGGGAACCACCUCCCCCAGGGGUGCUAUAUCAUGUCCCAUCACAAAGAGUGUGGAAAAGCGCAUUUUUAAUGUUUCUGUGCUUCUCAAUAUUAACCCCAACUACCUGAAAUUAAACUCUUAAAUGCCAUGGGAGUAGUUGUUGCUCUGCUCUUUGCAGACCAAAUUCUGAAACAAAGGUUAUGCUCAGGAAAAUGUGUGUAAGAGUGCAUCUCUGUCUGUUGUGAAUAGGCUGAAAAGCAAAAAUAGUCAUCCAGAUUUUGAUUAUUUACCAAAUUGCAGAACACUUUUGAAGGCUACAAACUGCUAGUUGUUAUUUAUGUGGGAAACAUAAUUUGAGUAAAGCACAAGGGCCUAAUGGGGCUUACAUUAUUGGGUUUAAAAAAGCAAAGCGGGUGGGAAGCCGUAAGUCUUAUGCUAUACAAAAACUCACAUGCAGGUUUCCUGUAGUACUAACAUACAAAAGACAUUGAGGAACAUUAGAUCACUCACAAAGUGGUAAUAAAAGCACCUUACCCAACUGUUGCA
rnacentral:lncRNA from 1 species